AUACUCGAUAGUAUCACUUGAUGGCAUCUGAAGGUGAUUAAAGAUUUAUCGGUUAUGGAUGGGCAUGCGUCUGAUUAGCUAGUCGGUGGGGUAAUGGCCUACCAAGGCGACGACGGGUAGCCGACCUGAGAGGGUGACCGGCCACACUGGGACUGAGACACGGCCCAGACUCCUACGGGAGGCAGCAGUGGGGAAUAUUGCACAAUGGGCGAAAGCCUGAUGCAGCGACGCCGCGUGAGGGAUGACGGCCUUCGGGUUGUAAACCUCUUUCAGCAGGGACGAAGCGCAAGUGACGGUACCUGCAGAAGAAGCACCGGCUAACUACGUGCCAGCAGCCGCGGUAAUACGUAGGGUGCAAGCGUUGUCCGGAAUUACUGGGCGUAAAGAGUUCGUAGGCGGUUUGUCGCGUCGUUUGUGAAAACCAGCAGCUCAACUGCUGGCUUGCAGGCGAUACGGGCAGACUUGAGUACUGCAGGGGAGACUGGAAUUCCUGGUGUAGCGGUGAAAUGCGCAGAUAUCAGGAGGAACACCGGUGGCGAAGGCGGGUCUCUGGGCAGUAACUGACGCUGAGGAACGAAAGCGUGGGUAGCGAACAGGAUUAGAUACCCUGGUAGUCCACGCCGUAAACGGUGGGCGCUAGGUGUGGGUUCCUUCCACGGAAUCCGUGCCGUAGCUAACGCAUUAAGCGCCCCGCCUGGGGAGUACGGCCGCAAGGCUAAAACUCAAAUGAAUUGACGG
rnacentral:rRNA from 1 species